AGCGAACGUUAGCGGCGCGCCUAACACAUGCAAGUCGCACGAGAAAGGGAGCAAUCCCCGGUACAGUGGCGCACGGGUGAGUAACACGUAGAUGACCUUCCCUGGAGUGGUGGAUAACCUGCCGAAAGGCGGGCUAAUACAGCAUGGGACCACAUGGUUUUGACCGAGUGGUGAAAGCGGGCCUCUGUUCACAAGCUCGCGCUCUGGGAUGGGUCUGCGUCCCAUCAGCUAGUUGGUGAGGUAAUGGCUCACUAAGGCAUCGACGGGUAGCUGGUCUGAGAGGAUGACCAGCCACACUGGAACUGAGACACGGUCCAGACUCCUACGGGAGGCAGCAGUGGGGAAUCUUGCGCAAUGGGCGAAAGCCUGACGCAGCGACGCCGCGUGGGUGAUGAAGGCCUCGGUUGUAAG
rnacentral:rRNA from 1 species